GUAAAGCGUGCGUAGGCGGUUCGUUAAGUCAGAUGUGAAAGCCCUGGGCUCAACCUGGGAACUGCAUUUGAAACUGGCGGACUAGAGUUUAGUAGAGGGGAGUGGAAUUUCAGGUGUAGCGGUGAAAUGCGUAGAUAUCUGAAGGAACACCAGUGGCGAAGGCGACUCCCUGGACUAGAACUGACGCUGAGGUACGAAAGCGUGGGUAGCAAACAGGAUUAGAUACCCUGGUAGUCCACGCCCUAAACGAUGUCGACUAGUUGUCGGGGAUUCACUUCCUCGGUAACGCAGCUAACGCGUGAAGUCGACCGCCUGGGGAGUACGGUCGCAAGAUUAAAACUCAAAGGAAUUGACGGGGACCCGCACAAGCGGUGGAUGAUGUGGAUUAAUUCGAUGCAACGCGAAAAACCUUACCUACCCUUGACAUGGCAGGAACGGAGCAGAAAUGUUCCGGUGCCCGAAAGGGAACCUGCACACAGGUGCUGCAUGGCUGUCGUCAGCUCGUGUCGUGAGAUGUUGGGUUAAGUCCCGCAACGAGCGCAACCCUUGCCACUAGUUGCUACGAAAGGGCACUCUAGUGGGACUGCCGGUGACAAACCGGAGGAAGGUGGGGAUGACGUCAAGUCCUCAUGGCCCUUAUGGGUAGGGCUUCACACGUCAUACAAUGGCCGGUACAGAGGGCAGCCAACCCGCGAGGGGGAGCCAAUCCCAGAAAACCGGUCGUAGUCCGGAUUGCAGUCUGCAACUCGACUGCAUGAAGUCGGAAUCG
rnacentral:rRNA from 1 species